CAUGAGGCUUAUUUAUUUGAGGACAGCCUUUCUCCAAUCACAUUUACUGGUUCCAUCAGGUUAGAAAGAAGUGUCAUCUGACAGGACCAAGGAGUGACUUUCUGCUAUUUCACCCACCCUCUGAAACAUCAUCCACCUCAGGUCAUAUUGGCCCCAAAUCUUUGGGCCUUCUGGAAGGGCCUGAAAACAUGGUUUUGCCUUCCUGAAAAUCCAAUAAAUGUGGGAUGCAAUGCAAUCUGGAGACGAAGAAAAAAUGUAAUGACAUCUUUGUAGAGCUGGUUAUUGAAAAAGUGAAGUGGACCCAGAUAUAGUCUGAUAAAUAAUAUUGCUCAGGACCUGAAUACUGGAAUAUAUUUAUUAAAUAUGUGAUAUUCAAGUGUUCUUUAGCACAUUGCCUAAAUAAAACUUAGAAUAUUGUUUCU